rnacentral:rRNA from 1 species
CAAUAGCGUAUAUUAAAGCUGUUGCGGUUAGAAAGCUCGUAGUUGGAUUUCUGUCAAGGACAACUGGUCCGCCCCUCGGGUGAGCACAUAGUUUGGUCUUGGCAUCUUGUUGGAAACUGUUGCUGCACUUGGUUGUGUGGCGCAGUGUCCAGCACUUUCACUUUGAGGAAAUUGGAGUGUUUCAAGCAGGCACAUGCCUUUGGACACAGUAGCAUGGAAUAAUUAGAUUGGGCUUUUGCUCCAACUUGUCGGUUUCUGGAGCUGAGGUGAGAAUUAAUGGGGAUUGUUGGGGGCAUCCGAAUUUAGCCGUCAGAGGUGAAAUUCUUGGAUCUGCUAAAGACGGACAACUGCGAAAGCGUUUGCCCAGGAUGUUUUCAUUGA